CUAACAACACGAGGCAUCCUAACACCACGAGGCAUCCUAACAACACGAGGCAUCCUAACACCACGAGGCAGCCUAACAACACGAGGCAUCCUAACAACACGAGGCAGCCUAACAAAACAACAAAUAUUCUCACUAUAUUCCCUCCCGGUAGACUAGAACAGACUGUCUGAUAAACAUAUGAACAGCAUGUAUCUCUCUCUCACACACACUAGCAUGGCUGUGUAUCUAUCUGAACAGUGAUCCUAUUGUGAAGAGGUGGUGGAAGACUGAGUCCCUAUAGAGUCUUAUGGGCCCCGGUCAAAAGUAGUGUACUAUAUAGGGCAUAGGGUGCUAUGAAAGAGGCAGACGAACAGUGGUCUGACACCAGACACCGCCUCAGGCCUCUCUGUGCUGCUGCAGGACCCAACAUCUGCUGCCUGGUCUGGGAUAAUGCAAAAUGUUCAUCUCUCAUGCCCUUUCUACACAAAUACACACGCAAGCACACACACACACACAAUAAUCUCUCAUGUCCUUUCUCCUGAGGACUGGGCCAUGCCAGAGCAGUGACCUGCCUCUAACUCUCCCAGGCAACACAUCAGAUGGUACACUACACUACACACACACACACACACACACACACACACACACACACACACACACACACACACACACACUGGUUGUGACUUGGGGGUAGAAAGAGAAACACACAUUAAAACAGAUGUGGUCUCCACAAAGCCAAUGUUGUUGGGAUGUUACAGACAGUCAGGUGUGGUCUCCACAAUGCCAGUGUUGUUGGGAUAUUACAGACAGUCAGGUGUGGUCUCCACAAAGCCAGUGUUGUUGGGAUAUUACAGACAGUCAGGUGUGGUCUCCACAAAGCCAGUGUUGUUGGGAUAUUACGGACAGUCAGGUGUGGUCUCCACAAAGCCAGUGUUGUUGGGAUAUUACGGACAGUCAGGUGUGGUCUCCACAAAGCCAAUGUUGUUGGGAUGUUACAGACAGUCAGGUGUGGUCUCCACAAUGCCAGUGUUGUUGGGAUAUUACAGACAGUCAGGUGUGGUCUCCACAAUGCCAGUGUUGUUGGGAUAUUACGGACAGUCAGGUGUGGUCUCCACAAUGCCAGUGUUGUUGGGAUAUUACAGACAGUCAGGUGUGGUCUCCACAAUGCCAGUGUUGUUGGGAUAUUACGGACAGUCAGGUGUGGUCUCCACAAUGCCAGUGUUGUUGGGAUAUUACGGACAGUCAGGUGUGGUCUCCACAAUGCCAGUGUUGUUGGUAUAUUACGGACACUCAGGUGUGGUCUCCACAAUGCCAGUGUUGUUGGUAUAUUAUGGACACUCAGGUGUGGUCUCCACAAUGCCAGUGUUGUUGGUAUAUUAUGGACACUCAGGUGUGGUCUCCACAAUGCCAGUGUUGUUGGUAUAUUAUGGACACUCAGGUGUGGUCUCCACAAUGCCAGUGUUGUUGGUAUAUUACGGACACUCACUUGACAACUGCUUUUCAGAAACUGCUGAACAUUAAGGAAGCUACUGGUUGGCUGGAAAGUUACAUUUGAUACACACAGGACAGUGAGUGCAGGGUCCAGUAAUGUCUGCCUGUCCGUUCGAGGCCUCAGUAAAACCCAUUAAAUAUGACUAUGAACCUAUAUGACUGUGACCCUGUAUGACAACAAGCCUACAUAACUACGACUCUACAUAACUAAGACCCUACAUAACUACGACUCUACAUAACUACGACUCUACAUAACUACGACUCUACAUAACUACGACCCUACAUAACUACGACUCUACAUAACUACGACUCUACAUAACUACGACCCUACAUAACUACGACCCUACAUAACUACGACCCUACGUAACUACGACCCUACGUAACUACGACCCUACGUAACUACGACUCUACGUAACUACGACUCUACGUAACUACGACUCUACGUAACUACGACUCUACAUAACUACGACCCUACAUAACUACGACUCUACAUAACUACGACUCUACAUAACUAAGACCCUACGUGACUACGACUCUACAUGACUACGACCCUACGUGACUACGACUCUACAUAACUACGACUCUACAUAACUACGACUCUACAUAACUACGACCCUACAUAACUACGACUCUACGUGACUACGACUCUACAUAACUAAGACCCUACGUGACUACGACUCUACAUAACUACAACCCUACGUGACUACGACCCUACAUAACUACGACCCUACAUAACUACGACCCUACAUAACUACGACCCUACAUAACUACGACUCUACAUAACUACGACUCUACAUAACUACGACUCUACGUGACUACGACCCUACGUGACUAUGACUCUACAUAACUACGACUCUACGUGAAUAUGACUCUACACAACUAAGACCCUACGUGAAUACGACCCUACGUGACAACGACCCUACGUGACUACGACCCUACGUGACUACGACCCUACGUGAAUAUGACCCUAUGUGACUGUGACUCUACGUGACUAUGAUCCUACGUGACUACGACCCUACGUGACUACGACCCUACGUGACUACGACCCUACGUGACUACGACCCUACGUGAAUAUGACCCUAUGUGACUGUGACUCUACGUGACUAUGAUCCUACGUGACUACGACCCUACGUGACUACGACCCUACGUGACUACGACCCUACGUGAAUAUGACCCUACGUGACUACGACCCUACGUGACUAUGAUCCUACGAGUCUACAUAAAUACGACCCUACAUGACUACAACGCUACGUGACAACGAAUCUGAUGUCUUUUAUUCCAACAGGGCAUCAUCUCUGAUCCUCUCUGUUCCUCUGUCAAGGCCGUCUCUCAGGACAUCCUCUCUGUUCCUCUGUCAAGGCCGUCUCUCAGGACAUCCUCUCUGUUCCUCUGUCAAGGCCGUCUCUAUCAGGACAUCCUCUCUGUUCCUCUGUCAAGGCCGUCUCUCUCAGGACAUCCUCUCUGUUCCUCUGUCAAGGCCGUCUCUCCUCUCUGUUCCUCUGUCAAGGCCGUCUCUCAGGACAUCCUCUCUGUUCCUCUGUCAAGGCUGUCUCUCCUCUCUGUUCCUCUGUCAAGGCCGUCUCUCUCAGGACAUCCUCUCUGGUCCUCUGUCAAGGCCGUCUCUCCUCUCUGUUCCUCUGUCAAGGCCGUCUCUCAGGACAUCCUCUCUGUUCCUCUGUCAAGGCCGUCUCUCCUCUCUGUUCCUCUGUCAAGGCCGUCUCUCUCAGGACAUCCUCUCUGUUCCUCUGUCAAGGCCGUCUCUCAGGACAUUCUCUCUGUUCCUCUGUCAAGGCUGUCUCUCCUCUCUGUUCCUCUGUCAAGGCCGUCUCUCUCAGGACAUCCUCUCUGUUCCUCUGUCAAGGCCGUCUCUCAGGACAUCCUCUCUGUUCCUCUGUCAAGGCCGUCUCUCCUCUCUGUUCCUCUGUCAAGGCCGUCUCUCUCAGGACAUCCUCUCUGUUCCUCUGUCAAGGCCGUCUCUCAGGACAUCCUCUCUGUUCCUCUGUCAAGGCCGUCUCUCUCAGGACAUCCUCUCUGUUCCUCUGUCAAGGCCGUCUCUCAGGACAUCCUCUCUGUUCCUCUGUCAAGGCUGUCUCUCAGGACAUCCUCUCUGUUCCUCUGUCCAGGCCGUCUCUCAGGACAUCCUCUCUGGUCCUCUGUCAAGGCUGUCUCUCAGGACAUCCUCUCUGUUCCUCUGUCAAGGCCGUCUCUCAGGACAUCCUCUCUGUUCCUCUGUCAAGGCUGUCUCUCAGGACAUCCUCUCUGGUCCUCUGUCAAGGCUGUCUCUCAGGACAUCCUCUCUGUUCCUCUGUCAAGGCCGUCUCUCUCAGGACAUCCUCUCUGUUCCUCUGUCAAGGCCGUCUCUCUCCUAAGUGCACUUUCCCUCCUAACCCGACUUGCGCUUUGGAAUUGAUUGAAACAAAAUGUCACAAAUAUGGCCUGUAGCUCCGAGCCGUCCUUCUGCGCACGGCCUUAAUUAUUCAUCAAUUAGUUGUCUUUAUUUAUUUAUUUUUGCAGAGAUGUAUGGUUCCCCUGCUCUACAUCAGUCCAAAGUCAUUCAUUUCUGGGUUUGCAAUUAAACCUUAUGCAUCAUUUAUGAGCCAGACCCAACUCUGUCUGUCUGUCUGUCUGUCUGUAGACACCGCAACAAGCUGAGGUCCCUGUACUCUGGAGGGAACGAGGAUAAAUUAAUUCAGAGGAAUUAAGUUCUCUCUCUCUCAGGUUGGAAUGAACAGAUGCCAUCGGCCUGAGAGAGAGAAUGGAGAUAGAUAGAUCACCGUACGCCGAGAAUGACAACAAUAGGAGAGGAUAGAAACACUCAGUGAACAAAUGAAAAAUGUACAAAUCUAGAAAACAUGUAUAAAGUAUUCAAAUAUAU
rnacentral:lncRNA from 1 species